GAAGGUCUAGCUCAGUGGUAGAGCGCAUGCUUAGUAUACACAAGGUCCUGGGUUCAAUCCCCAGCACCUCCA
rfam:Camelus ferus unplaced genomic scaffold scaffold468, whole genome shotgun sequence.